rnacentral:rRNA from 1 species
CACGUAGGGUGCAAGCGUUGUCCGGAAUCAUUGGGCGUAAAGAGCUCGUAGGCGGCUUAGUAAGUCGGGUGUGAAAACCCCAGGCUCAACCUGGGGACGCCACCCGAUACUGCUAUAGCUAGAGUCAGUAGGGAGUGUGGAAUUCCCAGUGUAGCGGUGAAAUGACGCAGAUAUUGGGAGGAACACCAGUGGCGAAGGCGGCACUCUGGGCCAGUACUGACACUGAGGAGCGAAAGCGUGGGGAGCGAACAGG